UUAUAGACACUGUUACCUAAGGUAACAAUAAUGUAACACAACAUACUUCAUAGGAGCUGAUGGACCUACUAACUUAUGCACGAUACUAUGCUGUUUCACAGAUUCACAGAAUGGCUGAGGAUGGCAUCCAGGUGGGUUUUGAAUAUCUCCAGAGAAGGAGGCUCAAUAAGUAAUUUGGGCAACCUCUUCCAGUGCUUUGUCACCCUCACUGGAAAGAAAUGCCCUCUCAUAUUCUUCUGGAAUCAGUUUCUAGUCAUUAUAUUAAUAUCUAAACAAACAGUCCACACAAAAAUGAAAUGAAGAAUAAAAAGAAACAAACAAAAA